UAAUGGACUUUCAUCACUUGAAUUAAGAGGACUUGAGUGCUUUCUUCAGAGUCCUGCAGCCUUUGCCAUGCAGAUUUACUUUGCAAUGGUAGACACCAUGAGUUGAUUUCAUUCAUUCAGUGACAGUCUAGUGACUAAACCCGCUGCUAGUACAUGAUUUACACUUAUGGUUGGGUUUCAAAUCUUGACGUUUUCCUUGCAAUUUCAUUGAAGAUAAUUCUUGUAAAAGGGUUCUGGUUACAUUUAUUUAUCUGUGUUUGAGGGAGUGCCACAGUACACCUCUGGAGAUACAAGGUAAUGCUCAGGAGUUAGUUUCCUUUCUCUACUUUGUGUGGUCUGGGAAUUCAGACUCAUGACAUCAGCAACAGUCUUUAUCCACCGAGCCAUGGAGCUGUUCUGGUAUGUUCUGUGCCUAUUUUGAAUUAAUUUAUUACUUUGGCCAAUUUGAUAUUUAUACCUAAUAUUAUUUCCGGUCUUUGCUUCAAGAUUUGAAUAAAAGCACCAGGUUUAGUUAGUCGAAGAGCUUAGUGUUUCUUAAUUCUACUCUUUCCUGUUUUAUUUAGGAGAGCAAAGUCUGACUCACAAUGGAAAAUAUAUUUGAUAAUAUUCAAGUCAACUCCCACUGUUAACAAGAUCAGCUGAUUGCUGAAAACUAAUCAAUUCUAACACUUUAAUUUAACCAUCGGAGAAAGUGUAUGCCUUCCACCAUGAUAUCUGUUCAAAAAAAAAAGAGUUAGGAGCAACACCUGUAAAAUAAAAUAAAAGAGAAACUUAGCCUACAUAAUCAACAAAUAGAUGGCGCGGUGACCACUCAAUAUGCAUGAAGUUCAUGGCAAGCAAGCAAGCAAGCAAGCAAGCAAGCAAGAAAGAAAGGAAGAAAGAAAGAAAAGUGAAUGGGAACUGAAGAUUCCAUGCCACUGGUUAUGUUUGAAGACAAGUAUCAAACAGCACAAAAGAAAAAAAUCAAUUCAGACAAAUGUCUUUGUAGAAAGUUAAACAGAACGAGUGAGAUUUAAAAACAAAAUCAAGAUUCUGGCCAGCUUCUACACUGAUUUGUGGAACCUUCACAAAGCACAGUGCUAAGGCAUUGUUAACAUAGGAGGCAGUUAGAGGCAUUAACUCACUCAGACCACUGGUCAGCUAGGACAUGCAUCACCGCUUCCUGUGUGCAAAGACCAGGAACAUCUUCUAUGUCACAGGCCUCACGAGGAAGACAAGAAUCUCAAAUAGUAUGAGUAUGGGAUGACAGAGAGCUAGGAGCAGCAGUUAGGCACCACUAAAGGAACACAGCACCUCAGGGCACCUUGCUACUGCUGAUAGAGAGAAGAGAAGCCCAUUUUAGAUCCCAGUCACUCAGACUCUUCAUUCUGAUCAGUGUGGCUUCCUAAGCCUUCAGCGAGAGGAGGCAAAGAUGACAGACAAGCCAUUGAACAGAAGAUGUCACAUAUUCAACAGCAAAGACUUCAUGGGAACACAAGAUACAGGUGGAAAAGUCAGUCUAGGCUCUGCGUUGAGUUGUUUUAAUUUCUGCCCCCUCCUCACCACCAGCCAAAGAGACCCAAAUGGGCAUUGAAUAAAAGUACAAAGGUCCUGGAGAGGCCAGCAAGAGUGCCAUAGACACUACAGACAUUGAGACAACUCCUGGAAGCACCCCACUUGAUAUGGAAGAAGAAGAUGAUGAAUACUAAAGGACCUCUCAUUUGAGGAUGGCAUCAUUUAUGGCAAGGUAGCCACUGGGCAAAGAAAAUUCCCUAACAUCAUGUGAUGACAGAAUGUUGUCCAGAAAGGACAAAUGGAUACAGGAAAUUUAACUGCCAAGCUCUACCAAUACAGGUGUGGGCAAAAAAGAAAUGAGAGCUGAUCAUUUAGAAGACAAACAAAUCAAACCUAAAUGCUAUUAAUCGGGCUUAAAUGUACCAAGCAGAUGGCAAAAUGGAAGGGCAGAAAGGUAAGGUGAAUCACAGACACUAACCUGUGUAUUGAGAGAACAGAAGUGGGAGAGGGUUGUGCAUGGGUGUUCUGAAAGAUCUUGCAGCUCACGGAUUUGAAACAUGCAUUAAUUUAAAGGAAUAAUUUCGGCCCGCAUUGUAUUGUGACUAUAUCAGAAAGUCAAAUGUGAUAACCUCACCUCUUGAACAAGAACUAGAGACUGCUGAUUGCAAAUUAGAAUGCAAAUUUCUAUCCAUUUUAAUUUUCAGUAAGUUCCUAUUGAGAGCUACUGAUUUGAGUAACUUUCAAGUGCUGAAGUAGUUUUCAUGGUGUUGGGUUCCCAGGAGUUGACUCAGGGUCAACUGUUUUCAGGAAAUCAGUUAGGAGGCAAUCUUAAAAUGCUGUCAGAAAG